rnacentral:rRNA from 1 species
UACGUAGGGAGCAAGCGUUGUCCGGAAUCAUUGGGCGUAAAGAGCGUGUAGGCGGCCAGACAGGUCUGCUGUGAAAACUCGAGGCUCAACCUCGAGACGCCGGUGGAAACCGUUUGGCUAGAGUCCGGAAGAGGAGAGUGGAAUUCCUGGUGUAGCGGUGAAAUGCGCAGAUAUCAGGAAGAACACCCGUGGCUAAGGCGGCUCUCUAGUACGGUACUGACGCUGAGACGCGAAAGCGUGGGGAGCGAACAGG